AUGGAAUGCUUCAAGAAUUUCAAUGGUUUAAGAACUUGUAUGGGUCUUGGUUUUUGGGAAAUUAUACAAGUGAAGGUACAUGUUUCAAUAUCUAAGAUGCAGAGCGAUGCAAUGCAUUUUCAAUUCCACUUCAUGUUUUUAUCAUACUCCUGUACAUUAUUUUCUUUCAAUAUAAUCAACCUUUUGUUCCACAAAAUCAUUGGCUUAUGA